UACGUAGGGUGCGAGCGUUGUCCGGAAUUAUUGGGCGUAAAGGGCUCGUAGGCGGUCUGUCGCGUCGGGAGUGAAAACUCAGGGCUUAACCCUGAGCCUGCUUCCGAUACGGGCAGACUAGAGUUCGGUAGGGGAGACUGGAAUUCCUGGUGUAGCGGUGAAAUGCGCAGAUAUCAGGAAGAACACCCGUGGCUAAGGCGGCUCUCUAGUACGGUACUGACGCUGAGACGCGAAAGCGUGGGGAGCGAACAGG
rnacentral:rRNA from 1 species